UUUUAUUUUUUAUUUUUUUUUUAUUUUCUUUCCUGUUUUGAUUUUUUGUUACUCCUUUAUCUAGCUCUUAUCUUACACGUGCACAACCCUCUGAUAGUGUCAGGAUACGUGGCCUCUUUCUUUGUUUCUUUUGGCUUACUCACCCGCAAUGAUACCCACAGGAUCCUUCCGCCUUUUAUCGUACACCGCUUUAUCUCCUUCAUCUUUGUUUUCUCUGUUGCCAAGGCUCCACAAAUCCCAUUUUCUUUUCCACUGCUCUCAACCGACUGUCGUGGAAGAAACCCAUCAGCUUCUCCUUCUCACGCCUGAUCGGCUGGGCUCUGUCCGAUGAAAGUGGUAUCUUAUUGCCCUAAGUGGAAAGUUCGACUCGAUAUCUUUUGGGUUUUGCAAGGCGGACGACUGCUUAUCGCAUCCGACCGUCGAUCUUCCCCUCUCCAAAAACCUCUAUCUCUCUAAACUCAUCGGCAUCCCUUCAAGCACAAACAUCCAACCUCCACAAAAACCAUUAUGCACAGGUACAUGUCCGGUUCUCCUUCCCUCAUUCCCUGGUCACUAUAUGGUGAAUGGUGGUCGUGGUUGGAGGGUCAUACUCACAGGUUCGUGUUCGUUUCUCCUUCUCCACUGUUUUCUUCUCCAAUGAAAUGCUUACAGAGCUCGCGUCCCCUUUAAAUACCUUAGCUUACGUAUUGUUCAUUGGUUAUGGUCAGUUACUCCUCCACCGCUCUUUCAUUGCUUUGUACCUUCUUGCUUCCUUCCAUGACUUCUCUCUGUCUUCUAAGUCUUCUCUCCCCAAAGACAACAUCAGACAUCAUAUCGAUUCAAGCCAAAGCACCUCCGUAUUGUUCUGCUUCCAUCGUCAUCGAUAACUAUUCCACAGUGAUGAGGGUUUAUGAAAUCGAAAUAAAUACUUAAAAUCAGCGUGAAUAGGCUGUGGUGGUGAGGAGCAGCGCCGGUGAGGGAGCAGAAUCCAACAUCUAAAAUGAAGAUUAAGGGUUUAGGGGUUAAGCUAAGGUUCUAAAUCGAAUCUUGCCAUGCGAUUACUACUAAAGUCGUAUCUCGCCAUAUCAAUACCGUCUGCCGACUUCCAUCAAAAGUUGCUUCCAACAUCAAUUUUCAGCUUACAUUAUACCCAUAAUUGCUUCUCUAUUUUCAAUUUAGGAAUAUGCAAAGGUGAUUUUUGAGUUUCACUCCACACUUAACUUUUUAUCAGAUUCCGAUACCCUUUUUUUUGAUAUUAUUCGAUUCAACUGUUUUGCGUUUUCUUUUCAUCUUUCUCUUUGGAAGUGGGUCAACCGGAUCAGUCAAUACAUUCAUUGGUACAUUAUUUGACUUGUGGUUCCACUUAAUUUUCAAAAGUUGUCCAUUGAUUGAGGAUUUCCGUUUCGUAGUUUGUAGAAGAAGGUUACUGGUAACUUUUCUUUCAUAAUCUAGAUUAAGUGAACAAAGUUGUGAUUUACCCUUAAAAGCAUUAGAGUAUGAAGAAUCUGAAGCUUGAAGGGCAAUGCAUUGGUGACAAGAUGAAUACACAAAAACGAGGUAAGGUCCACUAUAAUAUCUUUUUGAGUUUAAUUCAAUUUUUGAAAGUUUUAUUAAAUCUAUUAGCAACAUGUUUGCUUAGCAUUUUCAAAAGUUAUUUUCUUCUAUCAAAUCUAUGGGUAGAAGCUUCUUUUUGCAACUUGCAGGUAUUAUGAUAAAACACAACAUUGCGGCAACAUCUACUUCAGAUGAGAAGAAUACUGCUUCUACUUGACUAUAUCCGGUCUCGGCUAACUGGUGAACUUUCUGUUCAGAUUCUGGAAGCAACAGUUGGAAAAUAUAACUCAAAGCUCUUCUCAUUCUGAAAUGGUGUUUCUAGGUUUUGGUUUCAGCUUUCUGAGUUCUAAUGAAUAAUAUCAUGUGGUUGAGUUUGUAGAGGCGGGUGUAUGCCAUGGGUUUGCAGUUUGGAUAUUAUAGAUUGGGUGAUGGAUUCAAGUAACAACAUUGUCAUGUCAACCGUCCCAAGAGGUUCAUGGUAUUGGAAGCAAGGUGUGAAACUAUUUGCAUAUCCAUUGUCGGUAGGCUUAGGCGUAGGUGGUACCGAAACAACUCUCAUUGAAGCCUAUUUUGAUUCAUCUUUCUGUCAACGUCAUGUAGUUUUA